ensembl:lncRNA
AGGCGUCUGGACGAGGAGCUACGAGAUAUGGUUUAGUGGCUUAUGGUAGUAAUGGUGAUGGGAGGACAGUUGGACUAGAUGAUCUCGUAGGUCCUUUCCAACCUUGUGAUUCUAUGAUUCUAUGAUUCUAUGUCCAUGACAAAGCUUUACUGUAUCUCUAUGUCCAUAACCUCUGUUGUUUCUAACUCCCCUUGCUACAGUGGUCAGAGAAACUGCUCCCACUUCUGAUCUGGAAGUUACACCUUGAUUCAUCCUCUGUUCAGUGAAUACACUAUGCAGGUCUGUGCAUAUUGUUCCACCCUUCCAAGUGAGUUAACAAAAUCUUGAAUAGACAACUUGCCUAUCAAUCACAGCUGUCUCUGAGGACUGCUUUGAGUGGUGUUUCAGCAAAGCUGUUAGAUGAGUAUGCAUACUGAUCAGUCCUCCAACAAGGCCUAUCUCCUCUGCCUGAGCAAUGAUCUGUAUUUCAUCUGAGAAGACAGUAAGAACACAUAUCUGUUUGCAAGAGAGAAUACUAGGUUAUCAAGCCCUAGUAGAUUAAACAUAUUUUCUGGGUGAUAAGUGAGAGCCACCCUGUUCUCACUUCUCUCUUCCCCGUGAGUUUAAGCAGUUCAGAGGGACUGAAUUCCUUUCACUGCUUCCUUUCUGUCAUUAUAAGAGGAAUCCAUUUACCUAAAAUGAGGUUUCAGAUUUUGCAGUGGAAACCAAGUGUUUAAUUUUUAGUUAUUGCUGUGAUCCAUACUGUAACACUAAAGUCCUUUUGCUUAGCUCAGGGCUUGAAUUAUAUCUUUUUCCUAGCAAUUUCAUUCAUAUUGUUACAAAUUUUGAAUCCACCAGAGUCAAACAAUGGAAACUUUGUGUAUAAACCAUGUGUGCUAAAGCUAGUUAUGAAAUACCAUUGCUGACUAUUCCACAUUAUACCUUGAGACCCUGGAUGUCCAGCACCCAAAUCAUCUGCUUAAUCAGUUCAUUUAAUAAGUGUGUGUGCUACUGUGAAUAGAUUUCUUCUUGCUACGGAGAACAGGGAUGCACAAGCAGAUCAGAGCAGAAGGAAAAACCUCUGGAGGCAGUUAGUGUGGCUGAACUGACAUGCAAAGUUUCCUUCAAAUGUUACAAGUAAACAUAUGGAUAUUAUAAAUACAGCAUCUCUGGAUGCUGUGGUCUUGAACACAGUACCACACGCAACAUCUUUAUGAGGAGAGAAUUGCCAUUAAAUAUAUUAGUAU